AGCUAAAUGAGAAUAUCUUUGGAGUCCUAAAAAUAAAGCAUGCUGUCUCCAGUGCUUACCAUCCUCAGACAAAUGGGCAGGAUGAAAGAACAAAUCAAAAUAUCAAACGUGCACUGAGAAAAUAUGUUAAUGAGAGCCACAAUGAUUGGGAUCUCCAUCUUCCUGCAGUUGUAUAUGGCAUCAACACGGCUAGGCAGUCUUCAACAAGGUACACUCCAUAUUUCUUGCUUUUUCACCGACAUCCGCGCUUACCAGAAGUUUCAAACGCCUGUCCAAUGGGAGAAUC